GCAAGGAAUCUUGGGCAAUGGGCGAAAGCCUGACCCAGCGACGCCGCGUGAGGGAUGAAGGCCUUCGGGUCGUAAACCUCUUUUGCGGGGGAAGAAGAUCUGACGGUACCCCGCGAAUAAGCCACGGCUAACUACGUGCCAGCAGCCGCGGUAAUACGUAGGUGGCAAGCGUUGUCCGGAUUUACUGGGCGUAAAGGGCUUGUAGGCGGUUUGUUAAGUCUGGUGUGAAAUCUCCCGGCUCAACCGGGAGGGGUCAUCGGAUACUGGCAGACUUGAGACGGGUAGAGGAAAGCAGAAUUCCCGGUGUAGCGGUGAAAUGCGUAGAUAUCGGGAGGAAUACCAGUGGCGAAGGCGGCUUUCUGGGCCUGUUCUGACGCUGAGGAGCGAAAGCGUGGGGAGCAAACCGGAUUAGAAACCCGAGUAGUCC
rnacentral:rRNA from 1 species